AUUGAACGCUGGCGGCAUGCUUUACACAUGCAAGUCGAACGGCAGCACGGGCUUCGGCCUGGUGGCGAGUGGCGAACGGGUGAGUAGUAUAUCGGAACGUACCCAGAAGUGGGGGAUAACGUAGCGAAAGUUACGCUAAUACCGCAUACGAUCUAUGGAUGAAAGCAGGGGACCGCAAGGCCUUGUGCUCCUGGAGCGGCCGAUAUCUGAUUAGCUAGUUGGUGAGGUAAAGGCUCACCAAGGCGACGAUCAGUAGCUGGUCUGAGAGGACGACCAGCCACACUGGAACUGAGACACGGUCCAGACUCCUACGGGAGGCAGCAGUGGGGAAUUUUGGACAAUGGGCGCAAGCCUGAUCCAGCAAUGCCGCGUGAGUGAAGAAGGCCUUCGGGUUGUAAAGCUCUUUUGUCAGGGAAGAAACGGUAGAGGCUAAUAUCCUUUGCUAAUGACGGUACCUGAAGAAUAAGCACCGGCUAACUACGUG
rnacentral:rRNA from 1 species